UGACGAAUAACAGUGCAGUCCUUCUUUGGCACAGAGAAGACAUGGCAUACGUGACUUCUGUUUUGCCAAAGGAGAAUUGCCCUGCCAUUCAUUC
rnacentral:pre_miRNA from 1 species